GAUAGCGAACAAGUACCGUGAGGGAAAGAUGAAAAGAACUUUGAAAAGAGAGUAAAAUAGUACGUGAAAUUGUUGAAAGGGAAACGAUUGAAGUCAGUCGUACCGACGGAAAAUCAGCUCUUCGAGUGUGAACUUGUGGGCGUACGAUGAGCUUUAACCGGCCUCGCUGUUUGCUACGUUUGUGCUUUUUGGGUGUGCUUUUUCGUAUGGUUGGCCUACGUUUGGUUCGGUUACCAUAAAAUGAUUGAAGGAAUGU
rnacentral:rRNA from 1 species